UUUCCGUAGGUGAACCUGCGGAAGGAUCAUUCAUAAUAAGUGUUUUAUGGCACUUUUUUAAAUCCAUAUCCACCUUGUGUGCAAUGUCAGGGUUGAUUUUUCUCUCGAGAGGAUCAACCCCAAACAUCCACUAUAUCUCAACUCUUUGUCUGAAAAAUAUUAUGAAUAAAACAAUUCAAAAUACAACUUUCAACAACGGAUCUCUUGGCUCUC
rnacentral:misc_RNA from 1 species